ACAGCAGCCGCCGCGGGAAUACGUAGGUGGCAAGCGUUGUCCGGAAUUAUUGGGCGUAAAGCGCGCGCAGGUGGUUUAAUAAGUCUGAUGUGAAAGCCCACGGCUCAACCGUGGAGGGUCAUUGGAAACUGUUAAACUUGAGUGCAGGAGAGAAAAGUGGAAUUCCUAGUGUAGCGGUGAAAUGCGUAGAGAUUAGGAGGAACACCAGUGGCGAAGGCGGCUUUUUGGCCUGUAACUGACACUGAGGCGCGAAAGCGUGGGGAGCAAACAGGAUUAGAUACCCGGGUAGUCCCUGUCUCUUAUAC
rnacentral:rRNA from 1 species